GACGAACCACACAAACGUUAUUCGGAAUUACUGGGCUUAAAGGGUGCGUAGGCGGCGCAGAAAGUAGGGUGUGAAAUCCCUCGGCUCAACCGAGGAACUGCGCCCUAAACUACUGUGCUCGAGGGAGGUAGAGGUGAGCGGAACUUAGGGUGGAGCGGUGAAAUGCGUUGAUAUCCUAAGGAACACCGGUGGCGAAAGCGGCUCACUGGACCUCUUCUGACGCUGAGGCACGAAAGCUAGGGUGGCGAACGGG
rnacentral:rRNA from 1 species